CAGCCCAAUUCCAUAACCUCCUUCCUAUCCAGCGCCGCCACCCAAGUUGUUGCCCUCCCCCAGCCACAUCCUCUUCACCUUCCUCAACCCCCAAACUCUUCUCCUUCUUUCCUCCUCCUUGCAUUCGCUUCCUCCUUCAAAUCACCACGAAAUCGCCGCACCACCACUCAUAGACCAGCGCUGUGCUCUUUCUCGUCCGUUUCUCUCUCUCUCGCCACCACCGUUGAGGGAGUGGAUUUCACCGCCGUUAUGGACAGAAGUAGCUAUGGGUAGAGUCUCGUCCUCGAUCUCCGCUGUCGCCCACUUCCACCACCAUCCUCUUUACUCUUUUUUCACUUUUAAUCUUUGUUUUCUCACUCUUUUUUUGUUUAUUUAAUCUCAUUGUUUUAAAAUCAUUCUAAUGAGCUAUGUGCCUAUGUCUACUAUUGUAUGUUGGUUGGUAUUUGAGUUCUAUUUUUUAAACCUGUUUCGAAUGCUAAUCUAAUCGAUAGUCAAAUUAUGGGUUUCAAGAUGAGCAUAAAUUCAGGAAGAAAAUCCAUUGAACUUUGCAAUAUAGGGCAGCCAAAUGCAUCUGUAACCAAAUAUCUGACGAUAUCUUCACUUUUAAAGCAAUUUGUGCAAACUGGGAGCCAGAGUACAGCGGCCAUGAUCAAGUGGUACUAGAAGGCAUUCAUGGGGCACCUUAACUUUGCUAGCAUGGUACACUUCCACGCGCUUCAGUUUUGAUACCAAUAUACACUAUCUUAUUCAUGUUCAUUGCAUAUAGUCUGAAAUUGUAUUGUAUUAAUGUAGAUCUUUAUCCCCACUAAGAGCAUCUCCAAUGGUAGGAACUUAUUUUGGGACUUAACUCAAUUCUUGUGGGCCCAAAUUGCCACAUAAGAUUUAAGACACUCAUAAGGUCUUCAUGCACAUUUCACUCUAGUGGUUGAGAUCUUAUUUUACUUUUGUCUGGACACACAGUACCCAAUAUAUUUAUAUUAUUAAUUUUCUUCCCUAAUUUUCACUCUGAGUAUGGUAUUGAAGGAGAGAAAAAAAAUAUUUUAUUUAAGAUCCCACAUUUGAGAGUACCUGAGCUAAGGCACGGAUCUUAGCUUUUGCUAAGAUCUCAUGCCAUGUAGGAUAGCUCCAAUGGUGGGAUCUAAUAAGAUCUGGAUCUUAUUUUAAGGUCCCAAAAUAAGGACUACAUUGGAGAUGCUCUAAUGACAACGGAAAGAUCUAAGACUUCAUUGUUUACCACUGUCAUUCCAGAUGGUAUAGGUGUCCAGAGGAAUGGAUUGUAAGUUUCAAUGUCUCUUUCUAAUAUAUUAGAAUGACGAUAUCUUAAUUUUAUCACCUUUUUAAGGGAUGGAUCAUACCUUGCAACAUGUCUAUUUAACUUCAUCACAAUUAAGAUUUGUUUUCUGUUUGUGUUUCUAGAAAUAAUUGUGGUGUUUGGGUGGCAAAGUGGAUGAUGGAAAUGGGCAAGAAUGGAUAUAGAAUUGAGGUUGACAACGGCACCAGAUUGAGAGUUGCUCUGGACAUCACACUGCACCCAUACAACACCCACCUAAGUGCCAUUAUGUAGAAAUCAGGGAAAUAUAUGGACUUGUGCAAGGCUAAUUGAACUGGCUUUUUUUUGGGUAUAUGUGGUCUGCUAUGCAGACCAUUUUUUUGUAAAUCUGGUACAAUUUUAUUUUUUUAUGAUGCACAGGUUACUCAAAUUGAUGAAAGCAUAUGAAGAGCUCAUAUUUAAUCUUCAUGAGCAUGUCUAGCCCAUUCUUAAGUACAUGCUGGGUUCAUAUCAGAAAUCUCUAGAUUAUAGUCCCUUCCGAGUUUCGAGAGACGCUGCUUGGAACAAUGUCAGAAGGAAUGCUUAACUGCUCUCAUACAACCCAUACAGUUGCUGAUGUGAGGAGUGGUGGAAGUGGGUGUUUGACAUGGCAUGGGAAUUUAAUCGACAUGGAGAAACUAGUGAUCAAGGCCGAGCACUUGUCUUUGAUAGUGUUUUAGGAAAAUUGAGAUGAGUUCACUUGUCUAUGUUUAUGACCUUACAAUGCUCAAAUGUCAUCUAAUGUUACCGUAAUUUAUGUUUGAUCUGUUUAUAACAUGUCUUUGUUGGCUAAUUAUAUUGUCUAUAUUGUAUUGCCAGUUAUUGGAUUACUUAUUUCGAUGUUGUUACCACAGUAUAAUGUUUUUUGUAUUCUCUGAAGUUCUACUUGCAGGGGUUAGAAACGCCCGCAAAAAAAAAGAAA